CAUACCACCCUGAACACGCCCGAUCCCGUCUGAUCUCGGAAGCUAAGCAGGGUCGGGCCUGGUUAGUACUUGGAUGGGAGACCGCCUGGGAAUACCNNNNN
rnacentral:rRNA from 1 species